rnacentral:rRNA from 1 species
GAUGAACGCUGGCGGCGUGCCUAAUACAUGCAAGUCGAGCGAACGGACGAGAAGCUUGCUUCUCUGAUGUUAGCGGCGGACGGGUGAGUAACACGUGGAUAACCUACCUAUAAGACUGGGAUAACUUCGGGAAACCGUAGCUAAUACCGGAUAAUAUUUUGAACCGCAUGGUUCAAAAGUGAAAGACGGCCUUGCUGUCACUUAUAGAUGGAUCCGCGCUGCAUUAGCUAGUUGGUAAGGUAACGGCUUACCUAGGCAACGAUGCAUAGCCGACCUGAGAGGGUGAUCGGCCACACUGGAACUGAGACACGGUCCAGACUCCUACGGGAGGCAGCAGUAGGGAAUCUUCCGCAAUGGGCGAAAGCCUGACGGAGCAACGCCGCGUGAGUGAUGAAGGUCUUCGGAUCGUAAAACUCUGUUAUUAGGGAAGAACAUAUGUGUAAGUAACUGUGCACAUCUUGACGGUACCUAAUCAGAAAGCCACGGCUAACUACGUG